rnacentral:rRNA from 1 species
UGGGGAAUAUUGCGCAAUGGGGGAAACCCUGACGCAGCAACGCCGUGUGAGUGAUGAAGGCCCUCGGGUCGUAAAGCUCUGUCGGAAGGGAAGAUGGUGUCAAAGGAUAAUACCCUUUGGGAUUGACGGUACCUUCAAAGGAAGCACCGGCUAACUCUGUGCCAGCAGCCGCGGUAAGACAGAGGGUGCAAGCGUUGUUCGGAAUCAUUGGGCGUAAAGCGCGCGUAGGCGGUUUUAUAAGUCGGAUGUGAAAGCCCACGGCUCAACCGUGGAAGUGCAUCCGAAACUGUAGAACUUGAGUCUCGGAGAGGGUGGUGGAAUUCCUGGUGUAGAGGUGAAAUUCGUAGAUA